CCCAGACUCCUACGGGAGGCAGCAGUGAGGAAUAUUGGUCAAUGGCCGAGAGGCUGAACCAGCCAAGUCGCGUGAGGGAUGACGGCCCUACGGGUUGUAAACCUCUUUUGCCGGGGAGCAAAGAGCGGGACGCGUCCCGCCUCGAGAGUACCCGGAGAAAAAGCAUCGGCUAACUCCGUGCCAGCAGCCGCGGUAAUACGGAGGAUGCGAGCGUUAUCCGGAUUUAUUGGGUUUAAAGGGUGCGCAGGCGGGAGCGCAAGUCGGUGGUAAAUUGGGGGGGCUCACCCUCUCCCCGCCGUUGAAACUGCGCUUCUUGAGUGGGCGAGAAGUACGCGGAAUGCGUGGUGUAGCGGUGAAAUGCUUAGAUAUCGCGCAGAACCCCGAUUGCGAAGGCAGCGUACCGGCUCCACACUGACGCUGAGGCACGAAAGCGUGGGUAUCGAACAGGAUUAGAUACCCCAGUACU
rnacentral:rRNA from 1 species